AAGAAAAAAGAAAAAAUAUCUUUAGCUUACCACCAAGAACUUGUGUCACAACUCACUCAAAAUCUCUCUAAUUCGCUCUUCUUAGCUUCCGCCUCUGUAUCACAAUGCAUUAAAGAAAGAAACAGAGGAGUACACAUAUAGAAGAAGAGAAAAGCAUACUGAUGAGUCAAACCUUACAUGUUUUAUUCCAGAAUUUAUGAAAUUGCAUAAACUAGUCAGGGUUCACUAACUAUAUCCUAUAAAUUAAGGCUAUGGCUAUGCAUGAAGCGGAUGGUGAAGCCGCCCGAACGUGAAGAAAUUAAAAAGGAUAUCGAGAUGAUGAGUAGCUCAAUAACCAUCACGGUCUCCAGCGGUCAAGAUGAUGGGGGUGUCCAACAAGUUGAAAUCGAGUGUUAUUAAACACAAUAUUUGCUUAGGGAGUGUUCGUAGUGAAAAGGUUUUAAUGGGAUCUAUUGUAAUUAAAAUAAAUCUUUGUUAAGGGAGUGUUAUGAGUGAAGGUUGUUUGAGUGGAUCUAUUGUUGCUAUUAAACUAAAUAUUUUUGUUUAUGGCGUGUUAUGACUUUAUGAGUGAAGGUUGUUUUAGUGUGUUUUUAAUGGAUCUAGUUGUUAUUUAAACCAUCUCUCUUCCUUGUCAAUUCACUUUCCCUCUCACGUUGUGUUACUUCCAUAGUUUAGAGUUUAGACAUU